GAUGAACGCUGGCGGCGUGCCUAAUACAUGCAAGUCGAGCGAACAGACGAGGAGCUUGCUCCUCUGACGUUAGCGGCGGACGGGUGAGUAACACGUGGAUAACCUACCUAUAAGACUGGGAUAACUUCGGGAAACCGGAGCUAAUACCGGAUAAUAUAUUGAACCGCAUGGUUCAAUAGUUAAAGACGGUUUUGCUGUCACUUAUAGAUGGAUCCGCGCCGCAUUAGCUAGUUGGUAAGGUAACGGCUUACCAAGGCAACGAUGCGUAGCCGACCUGAGAGGGUGAUCGGCCACACUGGAACUGAGACACGGUCCAGACUCCUACGGGAGGCAGCAGUAGGGAAUCUUCCGCAAUGGGCGAAAGCCUGACGGAGCAACGCCGCGUGAAUGAUGAAGGUCUUCGGAUCGUAAAACUCUGUUAUUAGGGAAGAACAAAUGUGUAAGUAACUAUGCACGUCUUGACGGUACCUAAUCAGAAAGCCACGGCUAACUACGUG
rnacentral:rRNA from 1 species